GUUUUAGGGUGAUUGGCAUUUUUAAUAACCGUCCAUCCACCCCGAUCUGAUGGUGAUAAAUAGACGGAACCAAUCUGACGGAACCAAAAAUGUGGGACCGGAACCUUAAAUGUAUUUUCUGAAAAUUAUAAAAAACAAGUGUCCUUUUGAGCGGCCGAAACAUCCGAUGAGACUGCACGAAUCUUAAAGUGAUUGACUUUAUCCCCUCUCCCCGCUCAUCAUCUUUUCUUUUUCUUGAACUGGCCCCUCUUCAUCAUCUCUGGUAGUAUGUUUCCGACGGAAUCCUCUCCCCGGAGAUCCUCUCUCCACCAACCAGAUCACAUCCUAAUUCCAAUUUCUUGCCAGCGAGCGACCCUAUCGGUGAACUCUCGAUGACUGCGCGGCUGUCUCCCACAUGGCUGUCGUCGGCGGAACCACCAAGUCGUGCACCUGCGCUAGGCGAGGAAGGAGGAGGGACGUCGGGGCCAUAUCCAGGAUAAGCGGCAGGGAACCUGGGCGGCGCUGCCUCCUCUCGAUUCCCCAAUUCCCGGACCCUGCCUCUGCGCUCCGUGCCCGUUUCGUGUUCGACGGAAGGCUCGCCUGAUCAGCGGAAGUCAGGGGAGGCAGGGAUAUACUUGGUGAAACUUGACGGGCGGCAGGAGGCUCUCCACUUCGCCAAGAUCAUGUUGCGGCUCAAGAAGCUCAGCUACGGCCUCAGCCAGGAGCACGGCGACCCUGUCCUCAUCAGAAUGUCUGCGCCAGCCUAACGCUGGCCUUACAGGUCUAGCUUGUAUUUACACACGCUAAGAAAAUGCUUAUUCGGCACCAAAGAUUUUGCUUCGUCUUCAAUGAAUUGACUAGUGGCUACUACAUACUUACUACUAGACUAGAUCAGAUUUCGUGAUCAAAUUACUAACUGAGUCGUGUUUACUCACACGAUGAUAACUCUGCCUUGCGUGGUUGCUUGAUGUUUCAGAGAGGGACACUAGCAGGUACUUCCAAGUCUGCCAGGACCGAUAUGGGGCGGAAGAUGACAUCGGUGCAUCAUAGGCUCUCUUUGCUUGACAGCAACAAUAGCAGCAGAGGUUGACACAUUGAUGAUGAUGAUGAUUUUAAGCUGGUGCUAUGGUGAAGUUUAUGAAGAAGCUUGCUAGGAUGGAUAUUGAUAUGAGGGUUGAAGAGAAGCAUUCAUUUUCAGUUUGUUUUUAAGAAUACAAUUUGUACCAGUUGUGCCCUAUGUCGAAAAGAUUAUCGUUAAGUUUGUUUUUGGGCUCUCUAGUGCCAUUUCCCCUUCUAUUGUAAGAGUGGAGCAUGUGACAUAACACUUCUAAAGUGGCUCACACAUUCUUAUUGGAGAGCUAAGGAAGGUUACCUCAUAAUAUGUUACUGCAGUUAUAUCAAAGUGGUACUGAUAACUUGCCUAAUA